rnacentral:rRNA from 1 species
UACGUAGGGGGCAAGCGUUGUCCGGAUUUAUUGGGCGUAAAGAGCGUGUAGGCGGUUCGGUAGGUCCGUUGUGAAAACUCGAGGCUCAACCUCGAGACGCCGAUGGAAACCAUCGAACUAGAGUCCGGAAGAGGAGAGUGGAAUUCCUGGUGUAGCGGUGAAAUGCGCAGAUAUCAGGAGGAACACCGGUGGUGUAGACGGCUUACUGGACCAUAACUGACGCUGAGACACGAAAGCGUGGGUAGCAAACAGG